rnacentral:rRNA from 1 species
CGGGUGAGUAACACGUGAGUGACCUGCCUUUUAGACUGGAACAACUUACCGAAAGGUGAGCUAAUGCCGGAUGAGUUAUAUAAGUGCAUGUUUAUAUAGGAAAAGUUGGGGAGACCUGACGCUGAAAGAUGGACUCGCGUCCCAUUAGCUAGUUGGUAGGGUAAUGGCCUACCAAGGCGACGAUGGGUAGCCGGCCUGAGAGGGUGGCCGGCCACACUGGGACUGAGGCACGGCCCAGACUCCUACGGGAGGCAGCAG